UAGCUCAGGGGUAGAGCAGUGGAUUGAAAAUCCUCGUGUCGGUGGUUCGAUUCCGCC
rnacentral:tRNA from 2 species